UGAAGCUACGGAGGAGAGGAGUAUAAAUAUACCAAUAUUUGGCCCUGAAGUGGCCGGAAAACGGCUCAAAAGCCGUCGGGCCCUCGCCGGAAAACUGAGUUUCUUGCUUUCUCUGUUCCUGUGCAAAUCCGACGUUUAAAUCGCAAACUCUAGGUUAUAAUUAAACCACCAUGACGAAAAUGAAAGAAUCUUAAGCAUCCCGAGGCUUACCCAGGUCGGAGCACCAUGAAAUCUCACCGGGAAGUAUGGCGAUGGUGGCUGCCAUUGCUGCAGCUGUGCCUCGAGCACAGAGGAGAGAGAGAGAGCGGGACGAGGGGAACGGGGAGGUGCAGGGUAGACAGUUAUGGUUGUUGGUAGCGGUGAAGCUCGCCGGAGGGGCGAGGCGAGGUGGUGCCUCGGGUCGUUGUUGUUGCAGGGGGAUGAGGGAGAGAGACGAGGGAGAGUGUUCCAGAGGGUUCCCGAGAGAAUAGGAAGAUAAUUGACACGGGGAAGGAAG
rnacentral:lncRNA from 1 species